UUCCUCCUAAUGGUUGUUGGAUCUGCCACGUCAAUUAAUAAGGUCAGAUCCAACACCUCUGUGUUUUUCUAAUUUUUAUUUCUUUUUAUUUUUUAUUUUAAAUUGCAUAUUCUUUCAAAAUUCAUAUUAAAUUCAUUUUUCAACCAAAAAAUCCCAAAACAAUUUCUAAAUUUUUCUUUUGCUUUUAUUCAUCUGAUUUUUAUUUUUCCACAUUUUAUUUUCUUGAUUUUCUAUUUUUCUCGAAUUUUAUCUUUUUUGAUUUGUUUUAAU
rnacentral:lncRNA from 1 species